rnacentral:rRNA from 1 species
UACGUAGGGUGCAAGCGUUAAUCGGAAUUACUGGGCGUAAAGCGUGCGCAGGCGGUUUUGUAAGUCUGUUGUGAAAUCCCCGGGCUCAACCUGGGAAUGGCAAUGGAGACUGCAAGGCUAGAGUUUGGCAGAGGGGGGUAGAAUUCCACGUGUAGCAGUGAAAUGCGUAGAUAUGUGGAGGAACACCGAUGGCGAAGGCAGCCCCCUGGGUCAAAACUGACGCUCAUGCACGAAAGCGUUGGGAGCAAACAGG